rnacentral:rRNA from 1 species
GUCUACAGCCUUAGUACCCUAAACAUGCCUGAUCCCAUCUGAUCUCAGAAGCUAAGCAGGGUCGGGCCUGGUUAGUACUUGGAUGGGAGGUCAUCUAGGAAGACCGGGUGCUGUAGGUG